GCGCAGGUGGCGAAGUGGUUAACGCAUUCGGCUGCAACCCGGAUAUUCGCAGGUUCGAAUCCUGCCCUGCGCU
rnacentral:tRNA from 1 species